GUUAACCAUAAACCUUCUAGAAUCCUCAGAGGUGUGUUUAUUUGGCUGUGAUCAUUUUCAGACAGGGCAGUGGAGUGAGAGGCCGGGGGUCUGGAGGAUUCGUCUACACAGCUCUGCUGCGUCGCAUGAGAAGAAGAAGGUCAGAUUCAAAUGAAAACAGACCUCUGAAAACUCCUCCAUGAGCCGCACGGCUGGGCUGAAGCAGGUGUGUGUGUGAGCGUGCAGGAUAUGUGUGUCAGUGUGUGAGAGAUCAGCGGCGACAGCUGUGCAGUCUCUCCAGUAUCGGGUUUCAGAUAAAACUGAUGCAAGAGAACGAAAUCAUUACUGUGAACAAAUCUGAACUCUGACAAUGAGACGAGGCUGGGAAAGGUUUCAUGAACUUCAUUCUAAGUUUGCAGGCCAACUAAACAGUACAACACAACAACAUUGGCUCAACCACGGGAGAGAGAAGCUAGCAACGGACCAGGAAAAAUGAGAGAAUGUGAAAGACUCAAUCUGAUGAAGACUGAAAACCUGCUCAUCAGAUCUGAGUCCUACAGCAACACUCAGAACCUGAAACUGAGACAACAUGGUUUAUGAUCUGACUCGUUCAUAUUUGAAAAUUAGCCUAAAUUACCAUAGGUUUGCUCACUGCUUUAUUUUAACAGCCUGUUGUAUUAUUAGAAGACAGACAGAUUAUAUCAUUUUAAAUAACUUUAGUUUUAAUUAACAGUAACAUCUGAUGUUGUCCAACCGACAAAAAAAAAUUGUUUUGCAAGUUUAAUUAAUUGUGUUAACUGUGUUUGAUUUCAGCAAUUUUGUCGAUGUCUGUUUUUCUCACCAUUAAAUUAUAUUUUGUAAAUUUUAUUUGCUAUCCCCCAGUCUUCAAUGAGUUCUGUUUGAACUCAUUUGCACAACUUUUCUGACACACAAUUAGCAA